rfam:Pseudomonas sp. G5(2012) strain G5 PG5_100, whole genome shotgun sequence.
GGCGCGUGACUUGCUAGGAACACCUCAACCCUGCAGUCAACGCUGAUUGCAUGCAUACGACAAAGGCGCCGU